rnacentral:rRNA from 1 species
AUUGAACGCUGGCGGCAGGCCUAACACAUGCAAGUCGAGCGGAUGAAGGGAGUUUGCUCCUGGAUUCAGCGGCGGACGGGUGAGUAAUGCCUAGGAAUCUGCCUGGUAGUGGGGGAUAACGUCCGGAAACGGGCGCUAAUACCGCAUACGUCCUGAGGGAGAAAGUGGGGGAUCUUCGGACCUCACGCUAUCAGAUGAGCCUAGGUCGGAUUAGCUAGUUGGUGGGGUAAAGGCCUACCAAGGCGACGAUCCGUAACUGGUCUGAGAGGAUGAUCAGUCACACUGGAACUGAGACACGGUCCAGACUCCUACGGGAGGCAGCAGUGGGGAAUAUUGGACAAUGGGCGGAAGCCUGAUCCAGCCAUGCCGCGUGUGUGAAGAAGGUCUUCGGAUUGUAAAGCACUUUAAGUUGGGAGGAAGGGCGGUAAGUUAAUACCUUGCUGUUUUGACGUUACCAACAGAAUAAGCACCGGCUAACUUCGUG